rnacentral:rRNA from 1 species
GGGUUAAGUCCCGCAACCGAGCGCAACCCUUGCCUUUAGUUGCCAGCAGUUCGGGCUGGGCACUCGUAAAGGGACUGCCGGUGUUAAACCGGAGGAAGGUGGGGAUGACGUCAAAUCAUCAUGCCCCUUAUGAUCUGGGCUACACACGUGCUACAAUGGCCGGUACAACGGGCAGCGAAGGAGCGAUCCGGAGCGAAUCCUAAAAAGCCGGUCCCAGUUCGGAUUGCAGGCUGAAACUCGCCUACAUGAAGUUGGAGUUGCUAGUAAUCGCGAAUCAGAAUGUCGCGGUGAAUGCGUUCCCGGGUCUU